UGAGGAAUAUUGGACAAUGGGCGCAAGCCUGAUCCAGCCAUGCCGCGUGCAGGAUGACGGUCCUAUGGAUUGUAAACUGCUUUUAUACAGGAAGAAACACUCCCUCGUGAGGGAGCUUGACGGUACUGUAAGAAUAAGGAUCGGCUAACUCCGUG
rnacentral:rRNA from 1 species